UUUCCUGGUUCUGUGUGCCUGACGGGGAUGAGUCCAAGUCAGUGAAUGCUGCUGGACCAGUACAGCUACAAAGGUGAAUACUGAUUGUUUUUCUUCCUUGCAUUGUGUGUCCUGUGCAAGAACCAGGUUAAGGGACUGGGGAAGUGGCUCUGCUUACAGUGUUGGCUACCCAAGCGGGAGGACAAGAGUGCAGAUCCCCAGAACCUGUGGAAAUACCUACUGGUUGUGGCCGUUCACCUGUAACUCUAGCCUGGGAAAAUGGAGACGGAACUCAAGCUCUGUAUGAGACUAGUCAUACAGGAGCACCCAGUACUUGGGCAACCAUUCUUUGUUCUGCAUCCCUGCAAGACAAAUGAAUUCAUGACCGCAGUGCUGAGAAGUUCACAGAAAAUCAAUAGAAAUGUCAACUACAUCACAUCGUGGCUGAGCAUUGUGGGGCCAGUUGUUGGUCUGAAUCUACCUCUGAGCUAUGCUAAAGCAACAUUGCAGGAUGAGUGAUUUGUUGACGAGCAAGAAACUGCAGCAUGGAGAACACCAAGAAUAUACCUGGGAAGCCUCGGUGUUUAUGGAAAUGGGACUGCGGUACCUCAUGUCACCAAGAUUUGAUGCAGAUUUCUUUCCUUGAGAAGAAAACGUCUGCAGACCUGUUUGGAACAGUGGUUGUGUGGAAGGAACACAUCACAGAUUCAAAUUACUGUAAAGAGCAAAAAUGAAUCUAAUUCAGUGACAUUGUAGUUCUGACAUCAUCAGGGCUCACACAGGUUGUUUUCCUCUAGACACUGUUCUUCUUCUGUUGUGGAGAUUGAUGGAGAAAUGUGUUUGUGUGUUCAGUUUCAUAUAAGAUGUAUGAAAAUUAAAAUGUAGAACUUACUUGUUUCAGAAAAUUAAUGUCAUAAAAAUGGCUUAUCUUUGGAACUAGAAAAUAUCAUCCUGAGUGAGGUAACCCAAACCCAGGAGGAGAAACAUGGUAUGUACUCACUCAUAAGUGGAUACUAGAUAUAAAGCAAAGAACAAUCAGACUGCAACCUACAGAACCAGGGAGGCUACAUAGUAGGGGGGACCCUAGGAUGACUGUGCCUUAUAAUAAGUUUUGUUUUUACUCAAUUAUUGGGCAAGCCUCAAUGAAACAUUUCACUAUUAGGAUAAGAAUUUAUACUGUAUCAAGCUGAUAAUAGAAAAAUAAAUAAAUAA